rnacentral:rRNA from 1 species
CCUACGGGAGGCAGCAGUAAGGAAUAUUGCGCAAUGGGCGAAAGCCUGACGCAGCAACGCCGCGUGCGGGAUGAAGGCCCUCGGGUUGUAAACCGCUUUCAGUAGGGAAGAAAAUGACGGUACCUUCAGAAGAAGCCCCGGCUAACUACGUGCCAGCAGCCGCGGUAAUACAUAGGGGGCAAGCGUUGUCCGGAUUUAUUGGGCGUAAAGAGCGUGUAGGCGGCCGUGUAGGUCUGACGUGAAAUCUGGAGGCUCAACCUCCAGCUGUCGUUGGAAACCGCUCGGCUAGAGUCCGGAAGAGGAGAGUGGAAUUCCUGGUGUAGCGGUGAAAUGCGCAGAUAUCAGGAAGAACACCUAUGGCGAAGGCAGCUCUCUGGGACGGUACUGACGCUGAGACGCGAAAGCGUGGGGAGCGAACAGGAUUAGAUACCCUGGUAGUCCACGCCGUAAACGAUGGGUGCUAGGUGUGGGCGGUGUCGACUCCGUCCGUGCCGAAGCUAACGCAUUAAGCACCCCGCCUGGGGAGUACGGCCGCAAGGCUAAAACUCAAAGGAAUUGACGGA